GACGAACGCUGGCGGCGUGCUUAACACAUGCAAGUCGAACGGAAAGGCCCUGCUUUUGUGGGGUGCUCGAGUGGCGAACGGGUGUGUAACACGUGUGUAACCUGCCCUUGACUUUCGGAUAACUUCAGGAAACUGGGGCUAAUACCGGAUAUGAGCUCCUGCUGCAUGGUGGUGGUUGGAAAGUUUCGGCGGUUGUGGAUGGACUCGCGGCUUAUCAGCUUGUUGGUGGGGUAGUGGCUUACCAAGGCUUUGACGGGUAGCCGGCCUGAGAGGGUUACCGGCCACAUUGGGACUGAGAGACGGCCCAGACUCCUACGGGAGGCAGCAGUGGGGAAUAUGACAGAAUGGGCGGAAGCCAGAGGUAGAAACGCCGCGUGCGGGAUGAUGGCCUUCGGGUUGUAAACCGAUGUCGCAUGUGACGAAGAGGGAGUGACGGUAAUGGGUAAAGAAGCACCGGCUAACUACGUG
rnacentral:rRNA from 1 species